GGCCCACCACAACACCCUGAGGCCCAGUAUUGGAUGGAAUAAGCUUGCAGCUCCCCAGCCCUUUCAUCACCAGAGCAGAACACCCUAUUGCUCCUAAAACAAAGUCAGGCAACUCUAUGAGCCUUCCACAUGGAAAUCUGAGCCAUCAAGCAUGUAGUAGAGGUGCAGUACCUGGAGCCACAGGAAUGCAGUGCUGGUGAGACACUCUGUGUUCUCCAGGAAAGGGUGUCUGCACCUCCAGACUUCACAGUCAACCUCAGACUGGACUGGUAUUGCUCAGCCAUAUGCAAACACAUGCAAUAAAUCAGUAUCUGUAGAAGCCA
rnacentral:lncRNA from 1 species